rnacentral:ncRNA from 1 species
GCAAGCCUACGCUCUGUAUACAUUAGCAUGGCAUAAAAUUAUAGAGUUUCGGUCCUAUUACAUUUGCCUUCGGGAUCGAAUUAAUGAUUAAUAGGGACCGUCGGGGCAUUCGUGUUUCAUAGUCACAGGUGAAAUUUUUAGAUUUAUGAAAGACGAACAACUGCGAAAGCAUUUUCCAAAGAUGUUUAAUUUAAUCAAGAACGUAAUUGGGGGGCUCGAAGACGAUCAUAUACCGUCCUAGUCUCAACCAAAAAUGAUGCCGACCAGGGAUUGGCGGAUGUUGGUUUUAGGACUCCGUCGGCACCUUAUGAGAAAUCAAAGUUUUCUGGUUUCUUAAGGGGGGGGGGGGUAUUGUCGCAAGGAUAAAACUUAAAGGAAUUGAUGGAAGGGCACCACCAGGAGUGGAGCCGGUGGCUUAAUUUGACUAAACACGGGGAAACUUACCAGAUCCAUACAUAGUAAGGAUUGACAAACUAAGAGCUCUUUCUUGAUUCUAUGGGUGGUGGUGCAUGGCCCUUCUUAGUUGAUGGAGCUAUUUGACUGGUUAAUUCUGUUAACGAACGAGACUUCAGCCUAAUAACUAUAUAUGUGGUGGUAUCCUUUCGCGGCCAGCUUCUUAGAGGGACUAGUUCCUCUUA